rnacentral:sRNA from 1 species
CCCCGAGUGUUUCAUCUGCCUCACAUGUGGGACCUUUAUCGGUGACGGGGACACCUACACGCUGGUGGAGCACUCCAAGCUGUACUGCGGGCACUGCUACUACCAGACUGUGGUGACCCCCGUCAUCGAGCAGAUCCUGCCUGACUCCCCCGGCUCCCACCUGCCCCACACCGUCACCCUAGUGUCCAUCCCAGCCUCAUCUCAUGGCAAGCGUGGACUUUCAGUCUCCAUCGACCCCCCGCAUGGCCCACCAGGCUGUGGCACUGAGCACUCACACACCGUCCGCGUCCAGGGAGUGGAUCCGGGCUGCAUGAGCCCAGAUGUGAAGAAUUCCAUCCACGUCGGAGACCGGAUCUUGGAAAUCAAUGGCACGCCCAUCCGAAAUGUGCCCCUGGACGAGAUUGACCUGCUGAUUCAGGAAACCAGCCGCCUGCUCCAGCUGACCCUCGAGCAUGACCCUCACGAUACACUGGGCCACGGGCUGGGGCCUGAGACCAGCCCCCUGAGCUCUCCGGCUUAUACUCCCAGCGGGGAGGCGGGCAGCUCUGCCCGGCAGAAACCUGUCUUGAGGAGCUGCAGCAUCGACAGGUCUCCGGGUGCCGGCUCACUGGGCUCCCCAGCCUCCCAGCGCAAGGACCUGGGUCGCUCUGAGUCCCUCCGCGUAGUCUGCCGGUCACACCGCAUCUUCCGGCCGUCGGACCUCAUCCACGGGGAGGUGCUGGGCAAGGGCUGCUUCGGCCAGGCUAUCAAGGUGACACACCGUGAGACAGGUGAGGUGAUGGUGAUGAAGGAGCUGAUCCGGUUUGACGAGGAGACCCAGAGGACGUUCCUCAAGGAGGUGAAAGUCAUGCGAUGCCUGGAACACCCCAACGUGCUCAAGUUCAUCGGGGUGCUCUACAAGGACAAGAGGCUCAACUUCAUCACUGAGUACAUCAAGGGUGGCACGCUCCGGGGCAUCAUCAAGAGCAUGGUGAGUCCUGGGCAGAGCCAGCCAUCCCCGCUAUGCGGCCCCAGCAAAGCAGCUCCCUCUGUGAGCCUCAGUCUCAUCUCUUCAAUGGGGGGCAGCCACAGGGGUCUCAAAGGCCCUUUGAACCCUGAUUCCUAAUCAAAUAGGGGAGCGACCGACUCCAUCUAAAGCUGGGAAAGGCCAGGUACAAUAGUGCACACCUGUUAUUCUAGCACUUUGGGAGCCCAAAGCAAGAGGAUCACUUGAGGCCAGGAAUUCAAGGCUGCAGUGAGCUAUGAUCUCAUCACUGCACUCCAGCCUGGACCACAGAGCAAGACCCUAUCUCAAAAACUAAAAUAAAAUUCAGAGCUUUCCUUGAGGAUUUGAAUAAAAUUACAAAUCCAUCUUUAGAAAUAAAGUGCUCAGGCCAGAUGCAGUGGCUCAUGCCUGUAAUCUCAGCACUUUGGGAGGCUGAGGCCAGCAGAUCACCUGAGGUCAGGAGUCCAAGACCAGCCUGGCCAACAUGGUGAAACCCUGUCUCUACUAAAAAUACAAAAAUUAGCCGGGCCUGGUGUCAGGCGCCUGUAAUCCCAGCACUUUGGGAGACUGAGGUUGGCAGAUCACCUGAGGUCAGGAGUUCAAGACCAUCCUGGUUAACCCAUCUCUACUAAAAAUACAAAAAAUUAGCCGGGCGAGGUGGCGGGUGCCUGUAGUCCCAGCUACUUGGGAGGCUGAGGCAGGAGAAUGGCGUUGAAUCCGGGGGGGCAGAGCCUGCAGUAAGCCAAGAUCGCGCCACUGCACUCCAGCCCGGGUGACAGCGAGACUCCGUCUCAAAAAAAAAAAGCACUUGGAGGAAGCCUCACAGAGCCCUGUGCUGGACCACGCCCUGGGGAUCCAGUCCUGGCCUCCAGCCCCAUUGCUGUACCACCCUGAGACCAUGGGAUCUUCCUUAGGUUGGAUUACCUUGUAUCCAAGGUGUGGACCCUAUGGGCUCCUGCUAGGUGUAACUUGACACAACGGGUUCCGUUGUCAGGUGCAAUUUAGAAACUCUGGGCUGAGCCAAGCGCAGUGGCUCACACCUGAAUUCCCAAACUUUGGAAGGCCGAGGCAGGAGGAUCGCUAGAGGUCAGGAGGUCAAGACCAGCUUGGACAACGUAAUGAGAUCCCGAUCCCAUCUCUACAAAAAAAAAUCAAAAAAUUAGCCAAAUGUGGUGGCACAUGCCUGUGGUUCCAGCUCCACGGGAGGCUGAGGCAGAAGGAUCACUUGAGCACAGGAGGUCGAGGCUGCACUCCAGCCUGAGUGAUAGAGUGAGACCCUGUCUCGAUAAAAAAUAAAGAUCUCCAAGGGGAUGGGGUUUGAGAAUGAGGCAUCACCCCCUAAUGAUUUGAGCCCAAAGCCCUGUUCUCCUGGCGUGGCUCAGUGCUGCCACUCCGCAGGUGACCUGGCUGGGCCCUUCUACCUCUUACCUGUCUGUGAAAGUUGGUUCCAAUUUUUUAAAAACCUAGAAAGAUGAGUUAUUUGUUUGUUUGUUUUUUUCUGAGAUGGAGUUUUGCUCUUAUUGUCCAGCCUGAAGUGCAAUGGCGUGAUCUCGGCUCACUGCAGCCUCCAUCUCCCGGGUUCAAUCAAUUCUCCUGCCUCAGCCUCCCGAGUAGCUGGGAUUACAGGAGCCCGCCACCACACCUGGCUAAUUUUUGCAUUUUUAGUAGAGACAAGGUUUCACCAUGUUGGUCAGGCUGGUCUCAAACUCCUGACCUCAUGUGAUCCACCUGCUCUGGCCUCCCAAAGUGUUGGGAUUACAGGCGUGAGCCACCGCACCCGACAGAAAGAUGAGAUUUUAUAGAAAAUAAAUAUAGCUUGUUUUCUCAGAGGAGGCAGAUUGGGAGCUAUAGAGGAAUAUCCCUGCUUAGAGUUUGAAAUCAGUUCUGUUAGGAAAUAAUGUUUGUAGGGGCCGGGUGCGGUGGCUCAUGCCUGUAAUGCCAGCACUUUGGGAGGCUGAGGCAGGUGGAUCACUUCAGGUUAGGAGUUUGAGACCAGCCUGGCCAACAUGGUAAAACCCCAUCUCUACUAAAACUACAAAAAUUAGCUGGGUUUGGUGGUGGACACCUGUAAUCCCAGCUGCUUGGGAGGCUGAGGCAGGAGAAUUGCUUGAGGCUGGGUGCAGUGGCUCACGCCUGUAAUCCCAACACUGGGAGGCCAAGGUGAGCAGAUCACCUGAGGUCAGGAGUUCAAGACCAGCCUGACCAACAUGGUGAAACCCCGUCUCUACUAAAAAUACAAAAAAUUAGCCAGGCAUGGUGGCGCAUGCCCAUAGUCCUAGACACUCAGGAGGCUGAGACACAAGAAUCACUUGAGCCCCGGAGGCGAAGGUUGUAGGGAGCUGAGAUGGUACCACUGCACUCCACCCUGGGAGACAGAGUGAGACUCCAUCUAAAG